UGAUACGAUGCGCUGAAUCCGGCAUGGAGCGGGGGACCCGAUUUGGCAGCGUCUGCUGUCUUGGGGUGAAUCCGAUCAGGAAGGGCAUCUCUCCAAGCCCGAACCCGACAGCUAACCUCGCAAGCGCUUUGGGGAGGGAAG
rnacentral:sRNA from 2 species